AUGGGAACGCGAAGAACCUUACCUAGACUUGACAUCUCCUGAAUAGUGUAGAGAUACAUGAAGCCCUUCGGGGCAGGAAGACAGGUGGUGCAUGGUUGUCGUCAGCUCGUGUCGUGAGAUGUUGGGUUAAGUCCCGCAACGAGCGCAACCCCUAUUAUUAGUUGCUAACAUUAAGUUGAGCACUCUAGUGAGACUGCCCGGGUUAACCGGGAGGAAGGUGGGGAUGACGUCAAAUCAUCAUGCCCCUUAUGUCUAGGGCUACACACGUGCUACAAUGGUGGGAACAAAGAGAUGCAAGACCGCGAGGUGGAGCUAAACUCAAAACCCCAUCCCAGUUCGGAUUGUAGGCUGAAACUCGCCUACAUGAAGCUGGAGUUGCUAGUAAUCGCGAAUCAGAAUGUCGCGGUGAAUACGUUCCCGGGUCUUGUACACACCG
rnacentral:rRNA from 1 species